UGUGGGAUAUUGCGCAAUGGGGGAAACCCUGACGCAGCAACGCCGCGUGAAGGAAUAAGGUCUUCGGAUUGUAAACUUUUGUCUUAUGGGAAGAUACAAGACGGUACCAUAGGAGGAAGCCACGGCUAACUCCGUGCCAGCAGCCGCGGUAAUACGGGGGGUGCGAGCGUUGUUCGGAAUUAUUGGGCGUAAAGAGCGUGUAGGCGGCUGAAUAAGUCAGAUGUGAAAUCCCUGGGCUUAACCCAGGACGUGCAUUUGAAACUAUUCGGCUAGAGUAGGGGAGAGGAAAGUGGAAUUCCUGGUGUAGAGGUGAAAUUCGUAGAUAUCGGGAGGAACACCGGUGGCGAAGGCGACUUUCUGGCCCUAUACUGACGCUGAGACGCGAGAGCGUGGGUAGCAAACA
rnacentral:rRNA from 1 species